GGGGCCGGAGGCCGGAGAGGAAGGGAGCCGCAGCUCUGUGCGGGGAGUCGGAGCUCCAGUCUCCUGGCGGAGGGGUGCAGAGCCUGGCCUCCGCCGCUCCCCGCCCCGCGGGCCAGCGCAGAGCGGGCCUUCGGGGGAUCGGGGAAGCCCUCUCUCCCUGGAGUAUUUCCCACACCAUCAGCCCUCGGCUCGAGGUUGAACUUGGCCCUGGUCUGCCCCCCGUUGAAAAUAGAAAAUUCAGGAAACCGAGGGCUAGAGGACGGACUGGGGAAGACGCACAGGUGGAGCGCAGGCCUCCCGGAUUCUAGCAGAUGCUGACGCAGCCUAACGCACGGUUCCAGUGGAAACGGAGGAACCAGACAACAGUGCCCUUGGAAUUCCACAUCCCAAAGAAACGCCUCUAGGACUCCUCCCCACGGAUGUCCCAAGGCUCUUCAGAUGCAGCGCUUGCAAAGCUGAACUACCAGAGUGGUCAUCUCAAGAUGGACAUCAGGGCCUGCUUUUCCCUUGCUUACAACCCCUAGUGGCUCUCUGACUCAACCCUGGUUAUGUUUGCCUGGAUUCGACGACAGCCGUCCAAUUUCCUUUGUGGAACGCCUUGCUCCUGCCAGCCUCAGGCCAGUGAUUUCGGAGAUUUGGGGAUAUAACUGGUCCAUCACCACCAAUUCCUCUUUUCCCACUGCACACCACCCCUCCACUGCCACAGGGAUUGGUUCAAGGAUGGGUACCAGCUGGGGGCCAAGACAAUGACAGACCUCCAUGAGUGGCCCUGGGACAAGCAGGAAAGAGGCACUCUCUUUCACUAUGGUAGCUAAAUGGCCACCCUGCCACCAUGUGGGGACAGCAAGCUGGAGAAUGAGGUUAUUUCUUGAGGAAGCAGGACGAGCGAAUAGCCCAAGUCCAGUUGACAAUGUUACAUGCCUUGACCCAGCUGUGCCUGAUGGCACAGCUAAACCCGUAUCUUUCAGUUACAGGAGCUAAUAAAUCCCCCUACUGUUGCUUAAGCCAGUGCGAGUUGGGUUGCUGUUCUUUGCAACCAAAAGGGUCUUGAUCAAUGUAACCCCCAUUGCUCGCAGAACAGAGACCAAAAUCCUUAACACGGCCCAUAAGGGCGGCUGACACUUACUAAGCACUUACUACGUACCAAGCACUUCAACACCACUCAGCUUCUUCAUUUCUCGCAGCUCCCAAUAAGGUAGGGAUUUGAUAAGAGGAAGAGAUCGAAGCACGGAGUGGUUCAUUCUUUGCUGAAGGGCACACAGCAGAUAACACACAGCGUCAGGGCUUGAACCCAAACGAUCCGGCUCCACAGCCUCCGAUUUUAAUUCAAUCCUGCCAUGCCCCACUAGACCAGUGUGGUUGGGCCCUUCCUCUCCUUCCUGCUCACAUGACCCCAGCCAUGCUUGCAGCUACCUGAGCGGGCCCCACUCUCCCACCUCUAGAUCUCUGGGCAUGCUCUUCCCUGAGCCGUCACUGCUCUUCUUCCUCCUCCUCUUCCUUUUCACCUAGCUAAUUAGUGCCUACUUAUCCGUUGGUUCUCGGCUUAAGCAUCACUUCUGCCAAGUAGCUUCCUUGACCUGCUCUCCCUUAUUAGUCUCCACCACAGCCCCCCCCAUCCUCUUCCCUCUUUAUAGUUCUCACUGUGUGAGUUUAGCUAUUUCUUUCUGUGUUCAUUUAUUUGUUUCUGUUCUCCCGCUGGAUUGUAAACUUCCUGAAGGUAUAAGUAUUACCUGCCUCAACGGAUUUAUGAAAUAAUUAAUGGAAUAUCAGGUGAUGCUUUUCCUCCGACUAUUUUAGCAGAGGCUAUCCUGGUGUCACUAGCAGGAGCACUGGACUGGGAGUCCAAGAGAACCAGGGCCAAGUCCCUAGUUCCAACCCUAACCUGUCAGCAGAGUUGGCUAAGGCACACCACCUCUCUGAGCCUUCCUUUCCUUCUUUUAAAAUGUGGCCACUUGAUGACAUUUACCUGCCUGUCAGUAAGCUCUGAGAACCUGACAAGCUGGUGGAUGUGAAAACAUCCCAAGACAGGCAUGAUGGGCCCUGUUCCCGGAGAUGCUCCUUCCUCAGAGCCAGGACAACCUAGGAAGUGACACCAAAGGAGCCUACUUCUCUUUGCUUUAUGGUAUUGCCCAACUCUUCCAAUCAAACACACUCCCGGGGGCCACACAGAACCCAUCCACACAGUCUCUGCUCUGGCCCAACUUCAGAUGAAAUGUCGGAGGUUUGUGGCAACAGGUAACAGAAAACCUCCAUUCCUUUAGCUUAACCCAUAAGGGACUGUACAGUGUCACACACAGAAGUCCAGCAGGAGGGUGGCACCAGGGACAAUCAGCUCAGAUCCAGUAGUAUCAUUAAGGACCUGGGCUCAUGUAUCUACCUACAUACACCUCCAGCCUCAAAUCAUCAACCUUACUCCUGCUCCCCUCAUGACCACAAGAUGGAUGCCUAAUUCCAGACAUCACAUCCUGACAUGACAAUGUCCUGGGAAAAAAGAAGGGACCAUCUCUUCCUAUGUCUCCUUUUUUAUAGUGAAGAAGACUUACCCAUUAACAACUGGGUUAAUUCUUCUCACGAACAAUUCCUCAUGUUUCAUGGCCGGAAUUAUUUCACAUGCGAUGCCUAAAUCUGUUGUCAGUGAGAGGAAUGAGACCAUCACUGCAGGAGAGUCUGCUAGCUCUCCACCAAAACUCAUUCUCCUCUCUUCUACACCAAAAAAAGUAUUAACUAGACACAUGUUUGCCCAGUGGUGACAGCAUUUCUCUGACCCCUUUGGAAUCAGGUGUGGCCAUGGGACUAAAUUUUUGCCAGUGGAAGUAAUGGGUGCUGCUUUGGGGAUGGAGGCCCUAAGUCAGUGAGUGAGUCUCUAACUCAUUCUGUCUUCUCUUUUCCUGCUGGCUAGAACCCAGACAUGUCAAUGACCAGCCUCAGCCAUGUAGAUCACGACAAGUCUGGAAGGGGAGGAGAGAGUGGAGCCAUAAGAUGGAAGGGACUUGGGUCCCUGAAUGACCGCAUGGAACAGAACUGCCCACCAGCCUGGAACACUCACCCUGGGAUGUUAAGGGAGAAAGAAAUAAACUUAAAAAAACUCUCUUAAAGAGAGAGAGAAAUGAGUUGAGAGCUGGCUAUUUUGAAAAUAGAGGUAGAAGGGAAGAGGGAGACACCAUAUACUGAAGGCUUCACCGUGUUGGAAAAGCAAACACUUUGGGGCCAAACUAUAGAAAUAAGAUUGUUGCAAAAAGCAUUUUUCAAAAGUCCUUUGAGAUUUAUCAGCCAAACAAAGAUGGCCUCACGUGAGACACAACAGGUACAACAGGGAAUCCAGGAAAUAAAGCAGCUAUGGGAGAACCAUAUUCAGAAAAGAACUUUGGUAGUGGUUCCUGAACACAAAACUGACUAGAAGGAAAUGGACCAGAAACUGACCAGGUGUUUGAGGGAAUUACAUUGUGGUAGAAGCCAGAAGUCCGGCUCCCAAAAGCCUGUGAGUAAUCGAGACCUACAAUAACUCUGGGCCCUUCUAACUUGCACUAGCAGAAAACCUGGAAAGCUCUAUGGCCCCAAAGGAGGACACACUUCCCAACACCUAACUUGAAAUGUGGCUGAGAGGGAAAUGGGCAGGGAAUGGAAGGCAAGGCUGGGACCGUGGAGGACAGCAGGCAAGGUGCUGGACCCAAAGAACAGAACUAAGUCUUUUCUGGAAUGGGUUAUGAUGGCUGUACCUGAAGCCAUGAGAGAAGGACACAGGUUCCUAAAUUAUGACUUGAGUUGCCAAACUAAACCUAACAACUACCUACCUCUGGAUUUUUCAUUGCUUGAGAAAACUAAACCCUGGUCUCAUUUAAAUCACCAUUACUUAUGAAGGAAACAAUCAGCAAAACUAAAAGGCAACCAACAGAAUGGAAGAAGAUACUUACAAAUGACAUAUCAGAUAAAGGGUUAGUAUCCAAAAUCUAUAAAGAACGUAUCAAACU